rnacentral:ncRNA from 1 species
UGCCGCAUAAAAAAGAAAAUAUGCUGAAAAAUAACGAAAAUAUUAGAAAUUCUUUCAUCGAUUGACGGAAACGGCAUUAAGAAAACCAUCGUUUUCUGAAAAACAAUGGUUUCGUUU